GGCCGUGGCUCCUGUGCAAGAUGGGCCUGUGCACCCUCCAGCCCCUGGGCCCUCCUGGAAAAUCCUUCACAUCCUGCGGGACCUGGACCGCCAGCGGCCUCCCAAGCCUGGGCCAUUUGCCCCGUCGCCUCCGCCUGGCAUUCGACUUCUUAGAACCCCGGGCACGAGGGCAGCGUGGGGGGCAGUGGUGGCUGUCAGUCCAUGCGGGCCGCCGAGAGGACGCGCCCACCCCACCCUCCAAACGCCGUCCUCCUCCUUCAGCCAAAGCCGUCCCAGAGAUGGGCCCAGGGACGCGGCUGCAGAGGCCACUUCCAGUCACUCCCCGCUGCGGCCUCGCGCUCCGGGGUGGCCCCGCGGCUCCAGGAGCCACACCCUCCGCCGCGCCAGCUCCGACCGCAGUCUUCGGGAGCAGAAGCAGCGCCGCGCGGGCCCUGACGCCACACCCUCGCCCCGGCGCCUCCGCCUGCAGGACCCCGGCCCUCCCCGGGCUCGCUGGGUCCUUCCUCCCCGGCCGCUCCCCGCACCACGCGCGGUGCCUGCGAGCUCCAAGGCGGCGCCAGCCAAGACGGUCCCGGCCAAGCAGCGGUGGGUGCGACCCCCACCACGGGCCCCGGCACCGGCGGGGAGGGCGCGCUCCUGGGCUGCGGGAGCGGACGGACCCCGCCGACUCCGGCCACCUGGCGCCGCCGCCUCCUCCCCGCCGAAGUCCCUCCCGGCGCAGCCGCCGCAAACUUUCCGGAGCGGGAGCGACUGUGA